GCUCUAGAGAUCUGCUAUUUACGACAUUGUGCUUAUAAUGAGCAAUACCGUAUUGGAUGCUUAAACAUUUGUCCAGAGGGUAGAUUUUCAUACCAAAGUAAAAUAAAAUUUAGUAAAAAGAAAAAUAUUCCAACAGCUAUGCCAGAGGCAAAGAGACCAAAUCUGAGGGGCACAUAGUGUGCUGGGGAAGGGAAAGAGAAUGACGGCAACACAGUGGUUCAUGGUGGUGUUCUGUGAGUGGACUGUGUUCCUCCACAUUCAUAUGUGAAAGUCCUCACUCUCAGUACCCAGAAUCUGGAUGUGAGGGAGAUCUCGCUGUGACAUCUGUCUCCCCACUGAUCGCUAGGGUUGCAUCGGCUGAUCUGGCUGGCCAGGCGGGUAUCCCUUUCCUCCGUCACCCCUCCAUGUGCGUCCCUCCCAAAGCUGCACGCUCGGUCAAAGAGGAAAACCAUCCGCGAUAGAGGAAGACCAGUCUUUGGUCAAGGGUUUACGAGUAGCUGCGUUCCCCCGCUAGAACCUCCAAACAAGCUCUCAGUACCCGGAAUCUGAUCUUAUUUGAAGAGAGGGUCUUUACAGAGGUAAUCAAGUUUAAAUGAAGUCGUGAGGGUGAGCCCUAAUCCAAUAUGACUAAUGUCCUUAGAAAAAGGGGAAAUUUGAACACAGAGAUAUUCAUAGAGGAAGAGAAUUGAAGCCUCAGGGAGAAUUGAAGCUUCAGGAAGAGACUUGAAAUCUACCAGCACAGAAGAGAGGCCUGGAACUAAUCCUUCCCUUAUGGUGCUCAGUAGGAACGAACCCUGCCAACACCUUGAUGUUGAACUUCUGGCCUCCAGGACUAUGAGAAAAUGGUUUCAGUUGUGUAAGCCACUUAGUUUGUGGUGCUUUGUUACAGCAGCCCUAGGAAGCUGAUAUAUCAAGUGAGCAGGGUUCUAGAGAAACAGAGAAAGCAACAGUUAACUCUGUCUUGGGGAAUGAAAGAAUGCUUCACUGAGAAAUUCUGGAAAGAAGACACUAUUAUGCCCCAAAUGCUGCUCCUUCUUGUAUGUUACACUCACACCUCUUAGGUACGAUGUCUGGAUUUGAUAAGCCAGUUAUGGCAAUAUUUACCAGAGAGGACAGAAGGCAUAGAAGGUUUAGGGCUCUUCUGAGCCCCUGCACCACAUUCUUACUUGAUGGUUUGUCUGUCUUUUUGGAAAAGCCCGUCUCUGCGCACACAGCUGGUCCACGAGUUCUCGGCCUGGGGUUUAUGGUCCUCCUUCUUAUACCUCACGGGGCA
rnacentral:lncRNA from 1 species